UACGUAGGGGGCAAGCGUUGUCCGGAUUUAUUGGGCGUAAAGAGCGUGUAGGCGGUCUGGUAGGUCCGUUGUGAAAACUCGAGGCUCAACCUCGAGACGCCGAUGGAAACCAUCAGACUAGAGUCCGGAAGAGGAGAGUGGAAUUCCUGGUGUAGCGGUGAAAUGCGCAGAUAUCAGGAGGAACACCAAUGGCGAAGGCAGCUCGCUGGGACGGUACUGACACUGAGACGCGAAAGCGUGGGGAGCAAACAGG
rnacentral:rRNA from 1 species